GAGUUUGAUCGUGGCUCAGAUUGAACGCUGGCGGCAUGCCUUACACAUGCAAGUCGAACGGCAGCAUGAUCUAGCUUGCUAGAUUGAUGGCGAGUGGCGAACGGGUGAGUAAUACAUCGGAACGUGCCCUGUAGUGGGGGAUAACUAGUCGAAAGAUUAGCUAAUACCGCAUACGACCUGAGGGUGAAAGUGGGGGACCGCAAGGCCUCAUGCUAUAGGAGCGGCCGAUGUCUGAUUAGCUAGUUGGUGAGGUAAAGGCUCACCAAGGCGACGAUCAGUAGCUGGUCUGAGAGGACGAUCAGCCACACUGGGACUGAGACACGGCCCAGACUCCUACGGGAGGCAGCAGUGGGGAAUUUUGGACAAUGGGCGAAAGCCUGAUCCAGCAAUGCCGCGUGUGUGAAGAAGGCCU
rnacentral:rRNA from 1 species